rnacentral:rRNA from 1 species
UGGGGAAUAUUGCACAAUGGGCGCAAGCCUGAUGCAGCCAUGCCGCGUGUGUGAAGAAGGCCUUCGGGUUGUAAAGCACUUUCAGCGAGGAGGAAGGUGGUGAGCUUAAUACGCUCAUCAAUUGACGUUACUCGCAGAAGAAGCACCGGCUAACUCCGUGCCAGCAGCCGCGGUAAUACGGAGGGUGCAAGCGUUAAUCGGAAUUACUGGGCGUAAAGCGCACGCAGGCGGUUUGUUAAGUCAGAUGUGAAAUCCUCGGGCUCAACCUGGGAACUGCAUUUGAAACUGGCAAGCUAGAGUCUCGUAGAGGGGGGUAGAAUUCCAGGUGUAGGCGGUGAAAUGCGUAGAGAUCUGGAGGAAUACCGGUGGCGAAGGCGGCCCCCUGGACGAAGACUGACGCUCAGGUGCGAAAGCGUGGGGAGCAAAACAGGAUUAGAGUACCCUGGUAGUCCACGCUGUAAACCGAUGUCGAUUUGGAGGUUGUGCCCUUGAGGCGUGGCUUCCGGAGCUAACGCGUUAAAUCGACCGCCUGGGGAGUACGG